GGACUCUGAGAUCUCUCUGUUGCAAGACUUUUAAGUAUGAAUGGCAAAACAAGAGGUAGAAGUUUUUUUGUUGUCACAAUCUUAUAUUUACUCGCCAGUAGUUUUACAUUUGGAACUAAAGUCUAUGAUAUCAUCCUCUUAAACAGUCCUAAAUCAGUUACAACUUGGUUAAAAGCACUUGUGUUUGCUUUAGUUUACAGACAAGAACUCCAAACUCUAGAAUCUCAUUCUCUGCUCGAUAACAACUCGCAGUCCCACUGCCCUUUAUCGAAGCUUUCAACCCUCACACUCGUCAAGAUACUUCUGCUAGGAUCUUCCUACACACAUUUCUCUUAGGUCACUCCCCGAGUCUACUAAGGAGUCGUCUUGUCAAGUUGUGUGUUGCUGUAGGAACCCGAAGGAUGUGUUCGUAUUGCUUUGGUAUUUCAUGAAGAGUUUGAUUCUUAAGGAGAUGUUGGGUGUACAAUGGAUAAAAUGGUUAGUGGGUUUUGCAGAGAGUCGAUGGUUUAUGGACCCUUUUGGUUUGGAAUCAUGCCUUAAGAGUAUCGGAAAAGAGAGGUUAUUUUUAUGUUUUGAAACAUCUGUUGAUGUUAAAAUAUUGUAUUCACUAGUUGACUAGUAAAAGUUGAUGUUGAGCAGUAACAAAUGGCUUUCGGUUUUUAAUAUAAAAGGUACGCAGUAAUCCUCACGAGGAUCCAAGGCAGAUUAACUUUAGAUUCUAAAUACAUAUUUAUUUAUUUUUAAUAUUUAAAUUAUUUAAAUACAUAUAUAAAAUUGUAAAAUCUAAAUUAUUAAAAAAGAAACAUCAUAUAAAAAUAACUUUUAGGCCAUAUGUUUUUUACAUUUUUUGCCAUAUCUAUCUAUAUAAAUAAAGGAAGUUUUGCUCCUCUCCUUAGGAUGUACAGUUCAACAAUCACCUAGGGGUUUUUGUGGACACAUGGCACUCUUAAUUCUAUUUAAAAAAAAUUUCGUAAACGAAGCUAGCCAAUUGAUCUUUUAACGUUUAAAGUUUAAACCAAACGUUGACAAAAAAAAAAAAAGUUUAAACCAAAACCAAGCCAUUUCUUAUAUUUGGGCUUCUAUUUUUUUUUUUUCAGGCCAAAAGUAUCAUGUGUGACAACAUAGAGAACAUCGUCGACCCUUCUCUGAUGAAGCCGCCUCCGAUGAACUUCGUGUAACGCCUUCAGUUUCCAUUUAUUUUCUCUUUUAAUCUGAUCAGUUACAUAUUUUAUCCAACUCCCCUCACUCCGUAGAAUUUGUUUGAUCUCAUUAUUUUCAUACAUAACCGGCAGGAAGUCUCCUAUAAGUUUAAACGUUUCCAGCGAUGAACAGCUCAAGGCUGGCCGCUGCAGGCAGAGAGUUGUCACGAGGCUUCUCCGGUUCUGGAAAGCUCGAAAUGCGAAGAAAGAUGAAAAGUUGAUGGGCGUUGAUCUGUUACUGCUUGAUAGGAAGAUCCCGUCCAAUUUGAUUCAGGCUACAAUCAAUGUCCAUCGGCUCAAAACUUUCAGUAUGGCUGGCUGUAUGACCCAAAUAUGUUUGAUGCAAAGAUGAGAAACCAAAGCUUCUGCCUUUCAGACUCCCUGUUUCAAUUCAUUUUACAGAACAUGAUUUCAUCAUUUUAGGAAUAUCUACAAACAGAGCUCUGCCGUUUAUUCAGGUGAUGCCUCUUCCGAACUUUUUUUUCUAUUAGGGCUUUGGUUUUCAUUAUACAGUGGAAUAUUCCACCACUCAUCACUGGUGCUCCGAUGUGCCUCCGCCGCUUCUUCUUCCUCAAAUGCCGCCACGGCUAAAGCUCCCAAACCUUCCGGCUGCAACAUAAGGGCAGCUUCAUCUUCUAAUUCCACGUCUGAUCGUGAGGCCAUUUGCUCCAUUCGUCUUAAAAAGAUGAUUCCUUUGCAAGUAUAUUACUAUGAUGGAGGUUGAAGAACUGAGAGGUCAAGGUGCUGAGCAAUAUGCUUACAAGUGGGAAAAAGCCACAGUGCAAAUCAGCUCCACGAGAUGUACAAGUAUCUAGCGAACGGAGAAGAAUCAAACAAUGAGAGUGAUUGUGUUUCUAUGGUCGGGAGAGUCGUUGGUCGGAGAGCAUUUGGGAAACUUGCAUUCUUGACUCCGAGGGAAGAAGACUUAUGAAAAAUUCAAGUUUCAUCUUCAUCCAUUUUUUCUUAAUAGAUCAUUAAGAUGGCUUUGGUUUAAUUGAAGUAAUGCAAUCUCUACGUUUAGAGGACGCGGUUGGAAGAGAAAGUAAGGCAGCAUAAUGCAAAGCGAGCAGCGGCUGCAUCAAACACUCCUUAACAUAACGCAAAGAAAGACGAUGAUGAUUCAUGUGAGGUGACCCUAGACGAAGACUUUCUCACUGCCCUGGAAUACGGAAUGCCUCCUCCUGCUUCUGGAAUGGUACUAUUUCUUAUUUUCUUUCUUGUAUACGAUUAGAUUAAUAGUAUUGACGUUGCUUAAUUUGCAUAGUCAAAAACAUUACCAAGCUUUGUCUGCUCAAGUACUUACAUAAGUUCUCUUAUUGUUUUUCCGUCUUUCCUAGAGGUCUGGUAUUGACAGGCAGGUGAUGCUGUUGACAAACUCUGCGAGUAUAAGAGACAUCAUUGCGUUUCCUGUUCUGAAGGUUCAGCAGUAAUAAUUGCGCCUAACGUGGUAAUACAUGUUGUAGCUUUAGCAUUCCUUGUGUAUCUUCUUUUUUUGCUAUUUCUCGAGCUGAAGAAGUUGGAAGAAGCUUGUGUAACAUACGCAACUGGAUAGUAAAAACAAAUCCAAUGAUCUUUUGCUUGAUA